CCUACGGGUGGCAGCAGUGGGGAAUAUUGCACAAUGGGGGAAACCCUGAUGCAGCAACGCCGCGUGGGUGAAGAAGGAUUUCGGUACGUAAAGCUCUGUCAGCAGGGAAGAGAAUGACGGUACUUGACUAAGAAGCCCCGGCUAACUACGUGCCAGCAGCCGCGGUAAUACGUAGGGGGCAAGCGUUAUCCGGAUUUACUGGGGGUAAAGGGAGCGUAGAUGGUUGUGCAAGUCUGAAGUGAAAGCCUGCGGCUCAACUGUGGGACGGCUUUGGAAACUGUGUAACUGGAGUGCAGGAGAGGUGAGCGGAAUUCCUGGUGUAGCGGUGAAAUGCGUAGAGAUCAGGAGGAACACCGGCGGCGAAGGCGGCUUACUGGACUGUAACUGACGUUGAGGCUCGAAAGCGUGGGGAGCAAACAGGAUUAGAUACCCCAGUAGUC
rnacentral:rRNA from 1 species